CUCCUAGAAGUGAAGCUCUCAUCACUCUUCCUUGGAAUGUGGCUCUCUACCAGAGCUUUGAAAAGACAUUGACAGGACAGAUGGCCACAGCGUGAAUACAACAGCAAUUUAUAGUCCAGGUCCUAAUGAACUGUAAAGGCUGACACAAGACUAUACAGAUGGAAAUCAAGAAGAAAACAAAACACAUCCUGGACAGUGUUAUGACAACUUGGAAGAGCCAGUGCUCAGGUGAUGCCUACUCCAGGAAACGUCUGACUGACCCAUGAAAAAGUGAAGCAGGCAGAACAACAAAACCACCUCAAAAAAGGAACCAAUCAACUACCAACACCACCAACAAAAACAAAGAAGAGAGCAAAGGCAUGAAGGAUGGAGAGAGGAAAUGGAGGGAAAAGAAACACAGCCAAUACUCAACAUCUGCUGUCACUGUGUGAAAACUAUACUUGCCUUGACACUUGCCUAUGAUCAGGUAAUUUUCAGCUCACUGCAGUGUAAACACGAUGAGAUGGAAGCACAAAGCUUACAGGAAAGCCACUUGACUUCAUGUGAAAAUGGCUUCAUUCUAACACACUUAUGAUCCCCGACCAAUUGAAGAUGACUCAGAAAAAUCUAAUAUAUUUUAAAAAUGGUAGUGGAAUAUGUUUUCAUAGGAUAAACAUGGUUUGUCUGAAAUGCAGUAAACAGUUUAGGAGAUGGACAUGUAACUCAUUUAAGACAUGGAUACACUCUUACUUUGUAAGGAAAGGACAACCAUCUGGCCAGCAACAGUAGGACAAUAGAUAAAGAUGGAGGG